rnacentral:rRNA from 1 species
GGUUCAGGAUGAACGCUGGCGGCGUGCUUAACACAUGCAAGUCGAACGAAGCUCUUUGAUCGGAGGAUUCGUCCAAAGUGAUGAGAAGACUUAGUGGCGGACGGGUGAGUAACGCGUGGGUAACCUGCCAUAUACAGGGGGAUAACAGUUAGAAAUGACUGCUAAUACCGCAUAAGCGCACAGUAAGGCAUCUUACAGUGUGAAAAGCCGAGACGGUAUAUGAUGGACCCGCGUCUGAUUAGCUAGUUGGUGAGGUAACGGCUCACCAAGGCGGCGAUCAGUAGCCGGCCUGAGAGGGUGAACGGCCACAUUGGGACUGAGACACGGCCCAAACUCCUACGGGAGGCAGCAGUGGGGAAUAUUGCACAAUGGGGGAAACCCUGAUGCAGCGACGCCGCGUGAGUGAAGAAGUAAUUCGUUACGUAAAGCUCUUUGAUUGGGGACGAAUAAAUGACGGUACCCAAAGAACAAGCCCCGGCUAACUAUGUGCCAGCAGCCGC